UUACCAACGUUUUAGGCUUUAUUAGUAAUAUGGUUAACACUAUAAUUAAUAGGUAAAGUACGGAAUUGCAUGGCUGUCGUCAGUUCGUGCUGUGAAGUUUAGGAUUAAGUUCUUUUCAACGAAUGUAACCCUAUAAGUAAGUUUUUAUAAUGUACAAAAUAAAUGUAUAAUAUAUACUUAUUUAAUCUAUAACUGAAUAUAUUGAAAUCUUUUUUGUAUAUUUAGUUAUAGGGGUUUUAGGCUGAAGUCAAGUCCCUAUGGUCUUUAUACGUUGGGCUACACACGUGUUACAAGGGUAAAAACAAAGAGACGCAAUAGAGUAAUCUGGAGCAAAUCUCUAAAAAUUAUCUUAGUUCAGAUUGUUUCAUGAAAUUCUGAAACAUGAAGAUGAAAUCGUUAGUAAUUGUAAAUUAUUAUGUUACAGUGAAAUAUUAGUCAAAUUUUGCACACACCGCC
rnacentral:rRNA from 1 species